GCUCUCGUAGCUCAGGGGAUCGGGCAUCGGUUUCCUGAACCGUGUGUGGCAGGUUCGAAUCCUGCCGAGGGCA
rnacentral:tRNA from 1 species